AACCUCCCAAAUGCUGAGAUGAAGGCCUGCACCCAGCAAAAGCAAGUUCUUUAGAGCAAAACUGAGUGGCCAGAUAAUGGUUAAAUUGUCGGUGGAGGUGACCCUCCCUGGAUAGGGGCCAGAAUCCUGCUUCCUCUUACUUGCCCCUGGGCUUCUGCCUUUUGGCUCUGGUCUGGCCCUGACUUGCUCAUUCCCCAGCCUGCCCUUCCCCAGUUUCUAUUGACACAGCAGCAAAGCUGCCCUCACUUCCUUCUCUCCUUAGGACUUCGGAGGAGGAAGCAGUGUGAGGGCUUCAGAGACAGCAGGAAGUUCCGGAGAACUGUGAGCCUGAGUCACUUGGGUUUGCUCGGUUUUGUUUCUGUCCUUUUUGGUGCUGGGGAUCUACAUGGGGCCUUUCACGUGCCAUGAAAGGCCAGAGCUUUACCACUGAGUUCGCCCCAGACCAAGCCCAGUUCUUUCUUUCUAAUAUCCUGUGGGUACCAGUGUUACAUCCCUAGGACCCGAUGUUAGUCAGUUGGAAACUGUAGUGUGCGUACUAGAACCCGGGUCCUCUGGAAGAGCAGCCAGUGAUUUUAACCACCGAGCCAUCUCUCCAGCCCCCAUCCCAGUUCUGAAUUACUCAAGGAUGGGUCACCCCAUGGCAGAACCUGGUUUGCUUUCUCCUUCUCUCUUUGGCCAACUUAGGGGGGAUACUCUGCAGAGACCUCAGUUUACCUUUUGUGAUAUUUCAACAACUUUGAAGUUUAGUGAUUUGGUUUUUUUGGGGGGGGGGGAGGGGUUGGUGUUUUAAAUACUAAAUUGUUGUUUACAGGGUGAGUUCCAGGGCAGCUGGGGUGGUUAAAGAAAUUAAGCUUUUCAAAGAUUCCAAAUAAUUGACUUAGAAGGCUCUAUGGAGCUUAUCCUCACAUUGGUCAAGGCCUGAGUUCAAGCCCUUGUACCGUGAAAACACAACAAAAUGCUUGCUUAAGCCACACUAGUCCAGUUCUCACCUCCCCUCUGUGCUGUUGUAAUAUAAGCCAUAGAUCAGGACCAGGGAGACAGCUCAGAAGGUAGACGCACCUGCCGCCACACCACACCCAAGGACCUGAGUUCAAUUCCCUAAAGGAGGCGGAGAGGAGAGAACGCUUUCUAGUUGUCCUCUGGCCCCUGUUCUGUACGCUUGCCAAGGGACACACACUUGACACACAAAAUACAUAUUAAGUUUUCAAAAGUCUUUUUUUGAAUCCCAAAUACAAUCAAGAUCCCAGAACCCAAAGUUAUGAGGGACUUGAAAGAGAAUGAAAAUUCAAAGGCAAGUAGGGAUGAAAAUAUUGAGAACAAGAAGGAUGCAGGUAGGAUGUAGAGUUCGAGGCCAGCUAGGAUGAUAAAGUGAAACUUUGUCUCAAAACACAGAGAUGAUAGCUGAUAGGUAGGGGAAGGGGGGGGGGAGAGGAAGAGAGAGAGAGAGAGAGAGAGAGAGAGAGAGAGAGAGAGAGAGAGAGAGAGAGAGAGUUUAUGGAUCAAAAUUUGAGCCCACUGCCAGUCUGUGGAAGUAGGCUGACUUAAAUAGCAGCCUUCCUGGUAUAGAUUUCCCCAGGACGGAGGGCUUUUCACAUCCAGCUUCCGGCCAGCAAGCAUUAAGUGACAAGCCCUCCUCCACAUCCCUGCAAAUGAGCCUGAGCCGGGUCAUCGUCUGGCCCAGUCCCCUGCAAGCGCACGCAGGGUUUGCGGUGGCUGCACAGGGUGGGAACCAGAGGACAGUGUGGGAAGUCGGGCGGUUGUACGAGCACCCAGGGGGCAGGCGCAGAAACAGGAAGACCGGGAUUACAGUCCGCUUUAUAACUCUUUUGAAGUCGCCGGACCCAGCUCGGGAAGCCUGCAGGCUGCGAGCGCGCUGAUCAAAGGUCCCUCUGCGGGCUCAAAUUAGCACGGAACUGGCGAGCCGCGCUGCACCUGCCCGCGAAGAGCAGCGUGGCCGCCAAUCAGCUCAUCUUGUCCGGAGGUGGUUUGAUUCUGGCACAGUGCACACAGCGUGAAUCUGCGGAAUCUGCUGCAAAAUUACAGCCAGCUACCGCAGAGAAGCUGAACUCUAGGUAGUCGGCUUCCUCCCCCUUUACAGUAGUAACACCUCCCACUAAAUCGUGACGUUUAAACGACCAUGUUGGGAAUUGAACCUUGGACCUCUGCAAGCAAGGAAUCACUGAGCCCCAGCCCCACCAGCUCUUACUCUGACAUUUCACUGCUCUCCUGGAUUUACAGAAGAUACUAGAAAAAUUCUACAAUUAAAAUGAAGUAUUAAAAGGUGUUACAAAAAUUUUGAAGGAAAAAAUUGUAUUUUUCUGUGGCAUCUUGAUCUAUGAUAUAAAUUGUGAAAUGAUUGGAUUGAACUAAUAACAUAUCAAGAUUGUUCAAUAGAAAUUUUUUUUUUUUUUUUUUUUUUUUGGUUUUUCGAGACAGGGUUUCUCUGUGGCUUUGGAGCCUGUCCUGGAACUAGCUCUUGUAGACCAGGCUGGUCUCGAACUCACAGAGAUCCACCUGCCUCUGCCUCCUGAGUGCUGAGAUUAAAGGCGUGCACCACCACCGCCCGACUCAUUAGAAAAUUU